UACGUAGGGUGCGAGCGUUGGUCGGAAUUACUGGGCGUAAAGCGUGCGCAGGCGGUUUGUUAAGUCUGAUGUGAAAGCCCCGGGCUCAACCUGGGAACUGCAUUGGAAACUGGCAAGCUCGAGUAUGGCAGAGGGGGGUGGAAUUCCGCGUGUAGCAGUGAAAUGCGUAGAGAUGCGGAGGAACACCGAUGGCGAAGGCAGCCUCCUGGGCCAGCACUGACGCUCAUGCACGAAAGCGUGGGGAGCAAACAGG
rnacentral:rRNA from 1 species